AAGGCGUAACGAUUUGGGCACUGUCUCAACAACAGACUCGGUGAAAUUGUAAUUCCGGUGAAGAUGCCGGAUACCUGCGACAGGACGGAAAGACCCCAUGGAGCUUUACUGUAGCUUGACAUUGGGUUUUGGUACUACAUGUACAGGAUAGGUGGGAGGCUUUGAAACCAGGACGCCAGUUUUGGCGGAGCCAUCCUUGGGAUACCACCCUUGUAGUACUGGGACUCUAACCAUAGGCCAUGAAUCUGGUCUUG
rnacentral:rRNA from 1 species